AAGAAGCGAGCAUGCGAGUGUGAGCGAAUCUCAAAAUAACGUCUCAGUUCGGAUUGUAGUCUGCAACUCGACUACAUGAAGCUGGAAUCGCUAGUAAUCGCGAAUCAGAAUGUCGCGGUGAAUACGUUCCCGGGUCUUGUACACACCGCCCGUCACACCAUGGGAGUCAGUAACGCCCGAAGCCGGUGACCUAACCGAAAGGGAGGAGCCGUCGAAGGUGGGACCGAUAACUGGGGUGAAGUCGUAACAAGGUAUC
rnacentral:rRNA from 1 species